GGCUGGUCUCAAACUCCUGACCUCAAGUGAUCCACCCACCUUGGCCUCCCACCAAAGUGCUGGGUUAUAGGCAUGAGCCACCACGCCCAGCCACUUGUUCUACUUUGUGCCCCUUGUCACUACUGAACUUGACUAGUCUAAA
rnacentral:Y_RNA from 1 species